AAGUAAAGUCGUCCCUAUAUCCAUUAAUAAAUCAGUAGUAUUGUACAUAGUGUGUACGUGUCAAGUUUGCACAGUAAUGUGGCGUAGGAAUAUUACUGUUAACAUCGUUAAUAUUUGAUUUUCAGCUAACAAGUGUUUGUUUUCUUUUUACCUGUUAUUCAUUGAUUUUUAACUCCGGUUUGUCAAGGAUUUUGUUUACGGUCAUUCAAGAUGAAUCUCAGGGGCGGGAAGGCGAGCACCGUUGCCAUGAUCGCAGGUGUCGCUGCUGCUGAAGUUGCCAGUAUUGUCUACUUUAUGUUUACCCCCUGGUUUCUGGGGCCCGGGGCACGGUCUCUGUACACGUCAAUAGGGUGCAAUAUCCUACUGUUUGGGCUGAUAUUCAAACUUAUCGAAAAAUACUGGUAUUUACGAGCUUGGCAGGAUGCCGUGAAGAUGGGCAUUUGGUUGACUCUUAUAUACAUAGCAAUAAAUGCACCGUAUGUCAUAACCUGGUGGAAUCCAGCCUCCUACCUCUACCUUUUAGGUCCCGCGGCCCACACCGCCGUACAGAUCUCAGCCAUGACACUAUCCAUUUGGUACUUCAAAAAUAAGAAGUGAAAUAGUUACAUAUCAUAUUAAGCAAUUUUGUUUGUAUGUGAAAUCCACGACUUCAUGUUGUUGUUGUUGUUGUUCAUACUGAUCAUUUGAUAGUCAUAACAAUGUUCCAUCGUAUUUGCUGUACCUUUUAGAUAAAUAAUACUCCAAUAGUUUAACAAUAUUUUAGGAAAUAUUUACUUUAAUUAUUCUUUCUAAAAUAUAUAUUGUAUUUUAUUGUAAAAUGAAAUAGAAAUAUUAUUUAUACAGGAACUAUGUUC